rnacentral:tRNA from 1 species
GCAGGAGUGGCGGAGCGGUCAAACGCGGCAGACUCAAGAUCUGUUGACCUAGCGUCUACAAAGGUUCAAAUCCUUUCUCCUGCA